UUUACUCCUUUCAUAAAUAAUGUAUUUUAUUGCAUAUGGCUAUUAAGGAGAGCAUCCAUGAUCAAUACAGACUAAAUACAAUACACUACUCUAGUUCCAUUUAUUCUGGUCUCCAGCAGCAUCACAUUUAUCCUUAUAUACAGCGUGUACAUUGGAAGACACAGCAAGAUAAGUUAAGUCUCUUGUCAUAUCACAAUAGCAAGAAAUAUAUUUAACAUCUUGAUAUCCAGAAACAACACGUACCCCAAAAGAAAACACUGCUUAAUAACUGUUAAGGUUAUAUAGCAAAAAAUAUUUUAAAUUUAAGGUAAGUCAGGCAAAAUGUACAAAGACCCAAUAUACAUUGUGAAGUUUUAGCAAACAUAACAUUUAUACAUUUUGGUUCCAUUCUGUAAACUAAAUUAAGAAUGUAAGUAUUGCAUAUGCCUUUGUGAAAUAUACAGGAUAGAGAAGAACUGACUAUAUUGUCAAGUUUUUGUUUCAAAGUUGCUGUAUGCAUUUUAACCAUUUGUUUUAGUGGCAUGAUUUCUUAAUUGGUACAGACGGCUACUUCAAAAUAGAAGUUUGGAACAUUGAAUUCAGCAGGUACCACACUCAGUGCUAUGGGGGAAAUCAGACAGAAAAUGCCAAAGGUAUUUGUUUUUUUUUGUAGUUCCAGACUUGAACAAGCAGCAUUUUAGAAUGUCUUAGAACCAUUUAUAGUAUUAUUAUUAAAAAAUAAUUCGAACAGAUCAGAUAUUUAAAUUGAUUUUAGAUCUAAUAUUGUAUAAGCCUAUGCAUUGCUGUGAUUUAAGACCCCAAAAAUUACACCGAAAAAUAAAGUGUGUCAUGGGGUAGGGAAGGAAUUAGUUUACAUUCAUCUUUGUCUUGUAAUACAAUCCUCAGUUCCAAAAAUUCAGCAUGUAAGCAGGAAGACCGCACUGCCAUUCAUUAUACUUGUCAGACAUUGACUCUUGUCUUCCUCAGAAAAAAAAAAACAAACCCAAAAGAUAAUGCAUUGUUAAUAGCGAAGUACAGGUUCCACCUAGCACAAUGAUUUAAAAAAAAAAAAAGUCUCACCCAAUUCGUAACUUACUAAUACUUACAUGUCUAUCAGAGCAGGCACUGGGGAGGUACCCUUAACAUGUAUACAAACAAAUUUAUCGAAGGAGAAACAAGGUGGCAUGACAUUCUGCUAGUCUGGUGCAACAGUUGUAUGUGACAUUUGUGACAGUACCUGCCACAUCACUUGGAUUUUCAAGGUAGCCUUGAAAAGAACUCAGGAUAAGUAACUGCAAUGGUUCUUCUUCCCUGUAAUAAUGCCUGCAGCUACAAUGGUGCUUUCCUGGUAAAAGGCAAAUAUCAGGACUUUCUAGAUGGCAAGAUAAUACUGUGUUAAUAUUAGCGCUUGAAUCUGCCCAAUA
rnacentral:lncRNA from 1 species